AUAUUUUGAAAUCGUCGAGGUUUACAACAGAAAACAAAACAGUCAGUUACAAAAACUGAUUAUGACGCAACCAAUUUAAAAAAAUCAGCUUUGUCAUAGAUGGAACAAACCGCAUUCAAUCGUGAGAAUAUGUAACUUUGAUGAUAGGAUGUGACACUGAAAGGCUACAAUGAUUCAUCAUAACAAAAUAGGAGUUGUGGAGGUCAAACACGAGGACUCAUUUUUUGAGCAUGGGAAAACAUCCAUGUUUAUGACAUUGCUGCUCUCCGCCUCUGUGAGAAAGAAAACACUGUUCUACAUUUUGUCGCUGCUCCUCUGCCUAUUCCAGAUGGCUUUGUUGGCAUCAGAUAUCACGUUUCACUUUAAUUUAAAAAACCAUCAUUUCCCUACUUACAGCCACACAGAGGCUAUACUGGUAAAUGUUCUGCACAACCUCAAUGCAACCUUGUCGACUGGAUUUCAAGAUUUUAUGAUCAUUUAAACAUGUACCCUGUCUCACUAGAUACAUUAUUCUUUUUCAAGACUAUCAUCUAUUUACCAUUCUCGUGUAGACAUAAUCAUAAUGUAAGCAGUCUUUCCACCUUACAGCUUUUCCAGGUUGUGAAUUUCUACUGGGCGGUACUGGCCACAACGUACUCCCUUCAGGCAGGCAAUAAGAGAAUGGGCUACUACUCUUUGGCAUCAGUCUGUGAGUUUCACAUUCAAAGUCUUUUUUUGUUUGUUGGUAUUGCUUACUUUUUUUUUGUAAAGCACAGUUUUCCACCAUUUGUAACAAGGUUCGGAAGUAAUGUCCUAACCAUUUUAAUCUCCAUCCUCUAGUUUUCAACCUCAUUGUUUUUGCCUCCCGGUGCGCUUAUGAGUUCAUGAUGUUGCAGUUCAGAGCAGAGGAAUUUUGAGGUGAUCUGGCUGAGGGGAGUGUGGAUCAGAAGAGCUUAUCUGGCCACCUCUCUGAAUCAGUGCGAACCUACAUCAUGACAAUCCACAGUGACCUGAACAGUCUAAGCCCAACACACAGUACACCUUUUCCAUACCCAGACCACAAAGUUCAAAUAAAUGUCACUGGAUUGUU